rnacentral:rRNA from 1 species
UACGAAGGUCCCAGGCGUUGUUCGGAAUCACUGGGCGUAAAGGGAGCGUAGGCGGCGUGGUAAGUCAGAUGUGAAAUCCCGGGGCUCAACCCCGGAACUGCAUCCGAUACUGCCAUGCUAGAGGAUUGGAGAGGUAGCUGGAAUUCUUGGUGUAGCAGUGAAAUGCGUAGAGAUCAAGAGGAACACUCGUGGCGAAAGCGAGCUACUGGACAAUUCCUGACGCUGAGGCUCGAAGGCUAGGGUAGCGAAAGGG